rnacentral:lncRNA from 1 species
UUAGAAAAGGGAAUCCAAAUCUUGAUUAUUAGAAAAUUUUCAUAUAUGUCAAAUAGAUUCAUUUGAUGAACGCAGCACAAAUAGAUUGAAUAAUCAUCAAACUAGAAUUUACACAGUACGAAAUGUAGAUACAAAGAAAUUCCAAAAUCACAUUCGCAAAAUAAAAUAACAGAACAAGUGAUAUACAACACUAACCAAAACUACUCAAAUUAUUAGGAUUAUUAUUAUGUCUAAACAAACCCAUCUAUCCAAAAUACCAUAACAUAACAUUCUAUAAUAAUAAACAAAAGAAUAGGAAAGAAGAAGAGAAUGAAUCCAGUUAACGUUUGUGAGUACUCUUGUGAUACUUGUCUUUGAUCCAGUGAAAUCCGGUGAUGGUACCUUCUUUGACCUUCUUCAUGCCAGUUGAAGCAACAGCUUUGGUUUUUCCUAGUCCUUCUCCGACUUUCUGCUUGUAUUUAGCGGCGGAGCUAGUGUUGUCGCUGCUCUUUCUGUUCUGGUAGUCGUAAACAGGAUCAGGACCGUUGUCCCACUGAUCGGCCCAAGAUGUUUCGUAGGAGCUGUUUCCGUUCAUUCUUUCUCAACAAGGAUUUGGCUAUGGAAGAUUUCUGAAGCAGACAAGGCGGUGGAGAAAGAUUUGGUGAGGGAGAUCUUCCGAUUGGCAAUGUCAGGUGUUUUGGGGGAAAUCUGUUAGGGCAGAGGAUGAGGAUUGGGAUUGCAAUUUAUAGGGAAUUACUUGGUCCAACUCGGAAUACGCAAGGGGCUGGAAUUUUUCAACUAAUCGCAUUUCACACUUGCGCAUCUAUUAUUAAAUUUUUAUAUACAAAAUUUAAUGGACUUAAAUACCCUUCAUUUCAGGACUUAAAAAUAAUAAUAAUU